UGACCUCAAAUCAGGUAGGACUACCCGCUGAACUUAAGCAUAUCAAUAAAGCGGAGGA
rnacentral:rRNA from 1 species